UGUCCAUUUUAUACAGAGCAUGCCUGGAAUUUACCAGUAUUAGAAACAAUUUAUAAGAUAUCACUGCAUGUUUUAUUUCAAGGGUUCCGAAACUCAUUGCACAUAAUUUCCAGAAAUGGACCUAAUGUUCUCAGAAUAAUUCUAGAAUAGAAGUGUUAGAGGGCUAAUCAGAAAGUGACACUUCAUCCUCAAAUUAGCAAUAUGUUCUUAUCUGCAAAUCUCAUCCAAAUCUCAGUCCAAACUAGAACAGUCAAACAUGUCUGAAUUCCCAUUGAAUUUAAAUGCAGUUGAAUAUGAGGAGUUCCUAACACAUCUCUAGUACAUUAAAUUAACAUGCCUUAUAUCUAAUGGAACUCUAUUAGUUGGAAUAAAUAACAACAAACUGAAAAAAAUUAAAAAUGUGAAAAAUAGCACAUUAAGAAAACUUUAGUAAAAUUUAAACCAUCAUUUGGAGUAGAGAUAAGCUGAACUACAAUCUCAACAUGGUGACUGAUCUAAAUGCAGGUAAUACCUGAUAGGAAAAUAAGAUGAGAUAGAAACAAAUACAAUACAUAAAAACUGGGAAGGGUUUGUUUUUUUUUUUUUUCCUAUUUCAUUUAAUUUGAUUUUGAAUCUUUCAUCCAUUGCUGAUUUAAACAGUGGUGUUUGAUCAGUAGAUCGGAGUGAUGACUUCUCUACUAGAACAUUUGCUUUGCUCCUGCAUUGGGCUUAGUUCAAAUAAGAGUUGCAGACUAUCACUAAAUCCCGCUAAAGAAAUAAUAUUUGUAUGCUUUCAUCGCUCACUUGCAUUGGAGACACAUAUUUUAAGAAGGCCACCAAAAAGAAAACAACUUAGUGGUAUGCAAGAGUCUACCUAAGAUCUGGAAUAUGUGUUUUUUAUGAAUUGCAUAUACAAGAGACAUUACAUUCAUGGCAUUUAAAGUGGAUGCUUUCUAUUUCUAGAAACAAUUUUUAGUAACAAAAGUCAUAGAAGUUCUCUAUUCCAGUUGUGUCUUUAAGUCCGAAAAGAGGUCACCUCUUAAGAAUUGGAAUGCCAGGCGAUCUUUCCAUUCACUUGGCCUCUGACACUGAGGCUGAUGACAUUGUUAAUAGGAACACUAACAGAUUCUGGGGAAAAGUGGUUUUUUUGCAAAAGAUUUGGCAGUUAAGUUUCUUAUGUUUUGAUUGGAUGAAUGUUUAAAUGAUUUGCUAAUAAAUAAGAAAUUUUUGAAAGGGAAUUAAAAAAUUCUUCUGAUUAAUAUUAGCCUUAGUUUUGCUCUGAGCAGUGCAAUAAGUGGAAAGUUUCCUUACCUGGAUAGCUCUCAGUAUGGCAUGACAUAUUAUGUGAUAGAUUGUACAAUCAGCUUCAAUUCUGGAACUGGGGAGAGGGAAAAUUGCUUAUUAUGCACAUUUAUUUCUUUAAAAUUUUGAUACUGAAAGAAAGUAUUAUUAUAUAUUUUUCCAUAACAGUCCAUGCUUUUUACUGAAGGUUUCAAAAUUUCACUGAAUCUCCUAAAAAAAAAAAUCUACAUACUGUUAUGAUUUCAUAUUGUAAAUUUUAAUAAAAUCCCCACACAUCUUUGCUCUUUAAAAUGCACUGGUUUAUAAUAGUAUAUUUUAACAUUUAGGAUUUUAAUACCAAUGCUUCAGUGUAAUAAAACUUUUAGUGAUUCCCUGGCAUGUCUUGUUCAGACUUAAGUUCCUCAUUUACAUAUCUGAUGUUCCCCAAGAGACAGACAAGCUUCAAGUUAAUUAUCCAUGUAGCUGUAAGAACUCCUGUUUCCUUGGUAAGAACUCUCUAAAAGAAUACUAACAGUUAUUAAAUAUUACUUCGAGUUUUAAAAAGUAAUCAAAUUGCAUUUAAAGAGACACUAAAGAGAUACUUAAAUUUAAUACUCUUUGCAGACUAAAUAGUAUAUAAACCAUGUACUGCUUUCAUGCAAUUCACAUAUAAAACAACAUUUGAAAACUAGCAACAAGCCCAAACUUCAAGCACUACAGAUACUUGAAAGCAAAAGGGCUCUUCAACAGGCUCACUGUUCCAUAACACAGUCAUUUUGCACAAAGGCAAGACAGCACCUGUUGAAAGCAAUGACACAUUCCUGACUGCUUCUAGUAGAGAAAGAUUAUAUUACUAAUAGUUCAGAAAAAUGUGGAGCCAAUAAUGCUUUUUCCAGAAAAUAGCAAAUGAGAGAACACAUAGUUCUGAAAUGAAAUUAAACUACAGUAAAAACACAAACACAUCUUAUUACUCUCACUACGCUACAAUUACAGAGAGGAGCAGUGGAUAAAUACUGUAGCAUAUAUGUUGUCAUUUGUGACCAAAUGAAUCUUUAAAAAAAUGGUUUGAUGUAGCAUGGAAAAGAGGAACACAAUAACUGGCAAGCAUAAAAUGGGCUUUAAUCCUACCAUUCUACAAUGCUGCUACUCACAUAGUAUCAAAAUGCCUUCAGUAGAGUGGGUAGACCAUACCUAAUAUAUGUCAUCUGUGGCUCAUUGUCAUCCUCAGCUUCAGCUGGCAGUUUACAAGUACAGAUAUCAGGUGAAAUAAUUAAUCUGAGUAUUUUACAAUAAAUGAACAUGUGCAUCUGUUUCCCAGAGUCCUGUGAUGGCUUGCAUGAGAGGCAAAUUCAUUGACUGUCUCCAAAUUAUUACAUGCAUCCUAUAAUUAAGUUACAAUAAAUGAAUAGAAUGUGGAUGCUCUUCUGUACACAGAAAACAACAAUCUCAUUCCACAAAGACCUUGGAGGUCAUUCAAGAAACAAUUAGAUGUCCUGCUUCAAAUAGCCUUUCUUCUGUUUCCUACAUCUUCAGUGCUCACACAUUCAAAUGAAGCCAAACAGAGCAACAUACAGAGAAUACAAAUGCCUUGGGAAAAGUUGGUAUUCUUUCCAGAAAAAUGAGGUGGGAAGAAUCAUGUCUCACAUUUUACAGACGGGCAUUUGUUGACCAAUUUCUGUUAUUUUAGUCUCAGCAUUACUGAGUACAAAGUGAAAAACACUAACUAAAACCACAGUAAUUAUUCUGUUAGGUUUAGACAGAAGAGGAUACAUACUGAUGUCAGCUAUGCACACAUUAAGCUCUGGGGUACAAGUAUUACCAUGAGAACAGAAAGAGGUAAGACCUAACUUUGACAUGUCAACCAGGAGUCUUCUAUACCAUGUAGAAAGCAUAUCUGAAAUUUUCUGGCAGUUUACAUUUGAUCAGAGUUUUGAUCUAAUGCAAUAAAAACAGUUAAAACUCAGUAAUGCUCACAGGCUUUGGGAAUGCAAAAUCUUGCAAUCCUUAGGCAGAUAGUGCUGCCACUGACUUCAAAGAAGACAAAAGAAGACUUCAAAUAAACAAAGUCUAUUGUCACCUUGGGAUGAUGCUUUCUGGCUGAAACACAAAACAAUGUUGACAGACAACUGCAAAAGAGCGAUUUCCAGGGCUCCUCAGUCAAAAGAAGGGUCACUGAGUAGCAGACCCUUAAGGGCACUUGCAGGACUGUAUGGAAAUUGUUCCUCCAGGAGCCUAUUCUGAAUUGGGGAAAUCUUAGCCUGUGAAGCUUAUUUCUAUAGGAUUGAAAUACAAUGAAAAAAUUAACAAAAAAUACCUUCUAAGAUACAGAUGGUUCACAACUUACUACCCUGAAAUAUUUCAACUUUUCUUUCCUUUAUUUUCAGUUUUUUCCCUCAGCCUUCCUAUUUCUAGCGGAACCAAGAAAUAAUUACGAGGUGAGUGGAGCAAGUAUCAGUAAUGAGGUAGGCUUUGCAGUUUGAUCUGAACAGUUGCCUAGGUGAAGUUAAAAGAACAAUGCAGACCACUAUAAGAUUUGUCAGUAGAAGAUUCGCCACUAGAAGAUUUGUCUCAGAAACAAUGGCUUGUUUAAUGUACAUCUUUAGAUCAGAGAUACACAAAAUACUAAGAAGAUGGCAUAGUCUUGGACUCUCACUAGAGUGAAAUUUUUGAAAAAACCCCUAUUAGCUCAAACUACAAAAAUAAAUGAAGUUAAUAAAGAAAAAUGUGUCCAGCUUGUCUAUUAUUUCUUGAAUGUAAGCAUUAGCAUUUCUUCUCUUCUCACAGUCAAGUCCACCAAUAAAGAGUUAAGCUUGGCAAGACCUGAGUACUGAAUUAACUAGGGAAAUACAGAGAAAUUGAACAAUAAAAAGCAAAUAGGAGAUUAAAUUACUACUCCUGCAAAAAAUAUAUGAAAUUAAGAACCUUUUUUUCCUUGGUCUGGAUGAGGACCAAGAGUGAUUACACACAGCACUCCCAUUAUCUAGAAUACAGAACCAGUGACUAGCAAGAGAGAACCUAUUCUACAGAGUAGCUGUGAAAUAAUCUGUUCUUCAAAGAUGAAGCUGUCAACUUGCUCUGAAGAUUCAAGCUGGAUUUUCCCUCAUCAAUGGAAAGUGUGUAAUUGUCUUUGAAUUCUUGCUAUUGUUUUCAGUCCAUGCAGUAGUUAUUUCAAAUGAGGAAUCUGAAGCUAAACAGAGCUCUCUAUGCAAUUGAUCCUGUGUAUGACAGUCUUGAUCCCUCAGUGAAAUGAAUUCAGACAUAGACAGAGCACAUUCUUGGAUCUGCAACUAAAUAUGUAUUGUGAAAGAUCCUGAUUAAUAAGUGCUAGGUUUCAUAUUUGUACCUUUGUAUAAUUCUCAAGACCGUAUCCCAUCACAUAAUUCAUAGCAAAACAAAAUUAAGAUUUUAAUUUAUUCCACAGAACAGCACUUAUUAUUUGCCAUCCAUUGAGUUUCUAUGCUAGAGAAUACUCAAAUUCAUUUCAAAUUUCAUGCCUAACAAGAAUUGAAGAAUUUUGUGCUGUAUUUUAAUUUACACCAGUGUUGAUGGCAUAAAUCUCCUCACACUUCAUUAUAGGAUGUGAGAUGAUUUGGCCACCAUACGCAAAAGGCAAAGAAUACAUCCUGUCUCCUCCUUGUGGCACAGAGAGAGGCGAUGAAUCAAAAAGGUGCUCAGAGUCAGACAAAAUGGCCGUAUGGUGCUUCAGUGUUCAAAUUAUGUGUGUUCUUUAAAAAAUUGAAUGCUGGAUAAUGAUUUUCCACACUGCUAUACUACAGGUAAGUUCAAAAGCAGUCAUUGUCAGUAUGCUGAUUGAUGUAAAGCCUUCAGUCUCUGGGGGGAAGAGUAUAGCACUUCCUACUGCUUGAUCCAUAAAGCAGCAUUUACUGCAGCCCACCUUCCUGGUCUGUGCUGCAUAAUACAUUGCCAGAUUAUGGGAGUUAGGGAAUUAAAAGGCAAAGAAAAGAAUGGAUGAAAAAGCCCUGACCCCCUCCUCCACAGGUGAAAUAUUUGAGUCCCUGCCUCAGGGCAUUGGAAGUUGACACUAAUUGCCAUCCAGGUACCCACUACUCAUAUUCACCUAAAUAUUUCCCACUUCUGGCUGAUCAACCAAUGUAAAAUUUAAUUGAAAAAGUUUUCAUUUAACGUUUGCAUCCUGUGAUGACUAGCUGGGACUGGAAGCAUUCACUAUCAGAACUACAGUAUAAAAAGGGAGAAUAGCACCACGUGAAGGAGCCCAAGUAAAAGGGAAGAAGUGAGAAGGGGGGGAAAAAGGCUCUUAAGGAUGCACACUUCAAGUUUUUUUUUACUAAGAACCGACAACUUGCUCUUCAAGUGAUACUUCAUGUGCCAGGUACUGUGCCAGUUGUUUGAUUCUGUAUUUGCUACUUAGUGAUCACUAUCUGGAUUUUUGUAGGCAUUUUCUUAUGGCUGUUGAACAGAAACCUGCAACACUAUCCACGGAUAGGAAGGGGAAAGUAUUAUUGAUCUGUGUCUGCUUUGAUGUGCUGCUUUCUGGGAGUGAAAACCAAUCUGUUACAAUCAGAUGCUGCACAGCCUGAAUUAUAUUGAGGUUCCCAUCAAUAUAUAGAAUAUAUGGGAGCAAAUAAACAGUAGUCACAAAAGAAAGACUUGACCAGGUUAUUAACCAACUAUGGGUGUUGAAAAAAGGGAAAUUCAUGUGGGAUCCAGACAGGUCUCAUUCUUAAAGACCUUUUGGGGACAAAAGUACAAGAAAGGAAACGUUUGAUAUUGGAGACCAUGCAGAGAAGCCAAAGAGGAUUUGUGCUUUAUGAAGCAUUAAAGUUACUUCUGUAAUGACAGUCUAUUUGGAACAGAAAUGCCCCAAAAAAAAAAAAAAAAAAAAA
ensembl:lncRNA